CGAGUUUGAUCCUGGCUCAGAUUGAACGCUGGCGGCAUGCCUUACACAUGCAAGUCGAACGGCAGCACGGGAGCAAUCCUGGUGGCGAGUGGCGAACGGGUGAGUAAUAUAUCGGAACGUGCCCAGUCGUGGGGGAUAACGUAGAGAAAUUUACGCUAAUACCGCAUACGAUCUAAGGAUGAAAGCGGGGGACCGUAAGGCCUCGCGCGAUUGGAGCGGCUGAUAUCAGAUUAGGUUGUUGGUGAGGUAAAAGCUCACCAAGCCGACGAUCUGUAGCUGGUUUGAGAGAACGACCAGCCACACUGGGACUGAGACACGGCCCAGACUCCUACGGGAGGCAGCAGUGGGGAAUUUUGGACAAUGGGCGAAAGCCUGAUCCAGCAAUGCCGCGUGCAGGAAGAAGGCCUUCGGGUUGUAAACUGCUUUUGUACGGAACGAAAAGGUCUGCCCUAAUACGGCGGGCCCAUGACGGUACCGUAAGAAUAAGCACCGGCUAACUACGUG
rnacentral:rRNA from 1 species